rnacentral:rRNA from 1 species
GUCUAUGGCCAUACCGCCCUGAACAAGACUGAUUUCUGAUCUCAGAAGCUAAGCAGGGUUGGGCCUGAUUAGUAGUUGGAUGGGAGACCACCUUGGAAGACCAGGUGCUGUAGAAA